rnacentral:lncRNA from 1 species
AUUGAAUCAGUUUCGCUUUCAGUUUAUGUUUCCAGUCGUGUCUGUGAGGGCGAGUCUAAAUUCGUUAAUUCCUGUGGGUGAUAUUUGCAGAAUAACUCUGGCUAAGAGACUCCAAUGAUGCUUGUGAAAGGAGCUCUGUCAUGGAUGCCAAAAAGAGUAAAUCUGAUUCUUGAAAAACUCUGGAUCCUUCUAGACCAGUUCAUUCAGGAGUGCUUAUUAAAGAUAUGGUCAAUCUUACCACCAAAAGGUGAGUGCCCCCUACAGGCUGUGAAAUAUGUUGAAAUAUGUGCUCUGUUCUGAAUAAAGUAAACAUAUGUGUUGUAUAACCACAAACCUUUACGUUCAUAACUAAAUGCUUAUUAAUAAAAAUAAGUGCACUUUAUUAUACA